AUUGAACGCUGGCGGCACGCUUUACACAUGCAAGUCGAACGGUAACAGGCCGCAAGGUGCUGACGAGUGGCGAACGGGUGAGUAAUGCAUCGGAACGUGCCCAGUCGUGGGGGAUAACUGCUCGAAAGAGCAGCUAAUACCGCAUACGAUCUAUGGAUGAAAUCGGGGGAACGUAAGGCCUCGCGCGAUUGGACCGGCCGAUGUCAGAUUAGGUAGUUGGUGGGGUAAAGGCUCACCAAGCCAACGAUCUGUAGCUGGUCUGAGAGGACGACCAGCCCCACUGGGACUGAGACACGGCCCAGACUCCUACGGGAGGCAGCAGUGGGGAAUUUUGGACAAUGGGGGCAACCCUGAUCCAGCAAUGCCGCGUGCAGGAAGAAGGCCUUCGGGUUGUAAACUGCUUUUGUACGGAACGAAACGGUCUGGGUUAAUACCCUGGGCUAAUGACGGUACCGUAAGAAUAAGCACCGGCUAACUACGUGCCAGCCGCCGCCGUAACAC
rnacentral:rRNA from 1 species